UGAGCUUCAAGCUUACGUGUAGUCGAGAAGCUCAGUUCUUCAUAUCCUUCACUUCUUUUAGAAAAUGAGCAGAGAUGGAGAUUGGAUGUGUGCUGCAUGCCAACACCUAAAUUUCAAGAAACGGGAUGCAUGUCAACGAUGCAGCUGCCCAAAAUAUGCAUCACCAGCUGAUGUUGCCAUGUAUGGACUAAACAAAACUGAAGUCUUGGCUGGAGACUGGUAUUGCAGUGGUAUGAACUGUGGUUCUCAUAACUACGCAAGCAGAACAAGCUGCUAUCGAUGUGGUGCCUUAAAAAGUGAUUAUUAUGGCAUCGGAGUAGGAAUGAUGGCACCGACAGGUUAUGGAUAUGAUUCAAGUGCUCUUCCUGGUUGGAAGAGUGGUGAUUGGAUUUGCAGCAGAUUAGGAUGUGGUAUGCACAACUACGCCAGUAGAGCAGAAUGUUAUAAGUGCAAGACACCUAGGGAUUUCGGAGGUGAUAUGAGAGAAAGUGAAUUGUAUUGAGGGACGUGGCGAUACUAAGUUACUAUUGAAGAUUUAGCCUUCAAACAACCCUUCUUCACUCUUGUUUUUAGUUUUUUCUUUUCUUCUUUCUUUAGAUUAGUCUCUUGAAGAAGGGUUUAAUUUCUAACUGCAUUGUAACUGUGCAAUUGUUAUAAUGAA
rnacentral:misc_RNA from 1 species